rnacentral:rRNA from 1 species
GGAUUAGAUACCCUGGUAGUCCACGCCGUAAACGAUGUCUACUAGCCGUUGGGGAUUUAUUUCUUUAGUGGCGCAGCUAACGCGAUAAGUAGACCGCCUGGGGAGUACGGCCGCAAGGUUAAAACUCAAAUGAAUUGACGGGGGCCCGCACAAGCGGUGGAGCAUGUGGUUUAAUUCGAUGCAACGCGAAGAACCUUACCUACACUUGACAUGCAGAGAACUUAGCAGAGAUGCUUUGGUGCCUUCGGGAACUCUGACACAGGUGCUGCAUGGCUGUCGUCAGCUCGUGCUG